rnacentral:rRNA from 1 species
UACGUAUGGGGCAAGCGUUAUCCGGAUUCAUUGGGCGUAAAGGGUGCGUAGGCGGCAUGGCAAGUCAGAUGUGAAAUUCCCGGGCUUAACUCGGGGGGUGCAUUUGAAACUGCUGUGCUUGAGUGCAGGAGAGGAAAGUGGAAUUCCUAGUGUAGCGGUGGAAUGCGUAGAUAUUAGGAGGAACACCAGUGGCGAAGGCGGCUUUCUGGACUGUAACUGACGCUGAGACGCGAAAGCGUGGGGAGCAAACAGG